rnacentral:rRNA from 1 species
GAUGAACGCUGGCGGCGUGCUUAACACAUGCAAGUCGAGCGAGUGAGUUCUUCGGAACGAUCUAGCGGCGGACGGGUGAGUAACACGUGGGCAACCUGCCUCAUAGAGGGGAAUAGCCUCCCGAAAGGGAGAUUAAUACCGCAUAAAAUUAUCGAGUGGCAUCACAUGAUAAUCAAAGGAGUAAUCCGCUAUGAGAUGGGCCCGCGGCGCAUUAGCUAGUUGGUGAGGUAACGGCUCACCAAGGCGACGAUGCGUAGCCGACCUGAGAGGGUGAUCGGCCACAUUGGGACUGAGACACGGACCAGACUCCUACGGGAGGCAGCAGUGGGGAAUAUUGCACAAUGGGGGAAACCCUGAUGCAGCAACGCCGCGUGAGUGAUGAAGGUCUUCGGAUUGUAAAGCUCUGUCUUUGGGGACGAUAAUGACGGCACCCAAGGAGGAAGCCACGGCUAACUACGUGCCUGCCGCCGCGGUAA